UGUAACCAGCCGCUGAGCUGCAGCCCUUCCGUGUCCGCAGGCUUCGGCCCGGCCGCCGCCGCCCAUCAGCUAUGGAGGAGCUUUACAACUUCCCGGCCUGCAGAGCCGGGCGCAGCAAGGGCCAGACGCGGCGCGAGCUGGCGCUGCGAGCCAACGGGCCGGCGCCUGGCGGGCACGAUCGCAAGGUCGCGCAGAAGCUCCUCAAUGGCCAGCGCCAGUUGCAGCCCCGGCCGCACCCUUGCCUCACCUGAGC
rnacentral:lncRNA from 1 species